rnacentral:lncRNA from 1 species
CUCUGGAUGGGCUCGCUAGAGUCGUUGUUGUGGAAGCGGUGCAUUUACAGUGCAACAGUCAGCACAUUGAAAAUACCAAUAGGAAUACAAAACAAAGUCACAUUUACUGAUUUAAUUGUAUUGCAUUCAGUUGUAUCCAGGAAACAGCCUCCAACCAUGGACCCGCACAGCGGCCGCUGGCUCGGUGCGCGGCCGCCCGCCGAGAAGCCCAGUCCUCCCGCGUGCUGACCGGCCCCGCCGCCACCACCGCCUGUGACCCCGGACGCCGC